CCUACGGGAGGCAGCAGUAGGGAAUUUUGCGCAAUGGGCGAAAGCCUGACGCAGCAACGCCGCGUGAUCGAGACGCCCUUCGGGGUGUAAAGAUCUGUCAGUGGGGACGCAACUUGACGGUACCCACAGAGGAAGCACCUGCUAACCCCGUACCAGAGGCCGCGGUACUACGGGGGGUGCACGCGUUGUCCGGAAUCAUUGGGCGUAAGGAGUUCGUAGGCGGCACGUAAAGGAGGGUGUUAAAGGCAGAGGCUCAAGUUCUGUACGGCAAUGGAUACUGGCGAGCUAGAAUGCGGUAGAGGUAAAGGGAAUUCCUGGUGUAGCGGUGAAAUGCUUAGAUAUCAGGAGGAACAUCGGUGGCGUAAGCGCUUUACUGGGCCGUAAUUGACGCUGAGGAACGAAAGCCAGGGUAGCAAAUGGGAUUAGAUACCCCAGUAGUC
rnacentral:rRNA from 1 species